UACGAAGGGUGCUAGCGUUGUUCGGAAUUACUGGGCGUAAAGCGCGCGUAGGCGGCUUUUCAAGUCAGGGGUGAAAUCCCACAGCUCAACUGUGGAAUUGCCUUUGAAACUGUAAAGCUUGAGUGUCGGAGGGGAUAGCGGAAUUGCUAAUGUAGAGGUGAAAUUCGUAGAUAUUAGCAGGAACACCGGUGGCGAAGGCGGCUAUCUGGACGACAACUGACGCUGAGGCGCGAAAGCGUGGGGAGCGAACAGG
rnacentral:rRNA from 1 species